AGAGUUUGAUCCUGGCUCAGAACGAACGCUGGCGGCGUACUUAACACAUGCAAGUCGGACGAGAAAAGAGACUUCGGUCUCUAAGUACAGUGGCGCACGGGUGCGUAACACGUAAGUAAUCUGCCCCGAACUCCAGGAUAACCCUCCGAAAGGAGGGCUAAUACUAGAUAGGGUCCCCGAGGUGUAGGCUGCGGGGGGAAAACGGGCCUCUGUUUCACGCUCGUGGUUCGGGAUGAGCUUGCGGCCCAUUAGCUUGUUGGUAGGGUAAUGGCUUACCAAGGCUACGAUGGGUAGCUGGUCUGAGAGGAUGAUCAGCCACACUGGCACUGAGACACGGGCCAGACUCCUACGGGAGGCAGCAGUGGGGAAUUUUGCGCAAUGGGCGAAAGCCUGACGCAGUAACGCCGCGUGGAGGAUGAAGGCCUUCGGGUUGUAAACUCCUGUCAGGGGGAACGACGGGGAGAGGGUGAUAAAUCCUUUCCUCCAGACGGUACCUCCAAAGGAAGCCCCGGCUAAUUCCGUGCCAGCAGCCGCGGUAAUACGGAAGGGGCAAGCGUUGUUCGGAAUCAUUGGGCGUAAAGGGCGCGUAGGUGGUUCUGUAUGUCUACCGUGAAAGCAUACGGCUCAACUGUAUUUUGUCGGUAGAAACUGCAGGACUUGAGGCUGGGAGGGGCUGGUGGAAUUCCCUGUGUAGCGGUGAAAUGCGUAGAGAUGGGGGAGAACACUCGUGGCGAAGGCGGCCAGCUAGACCAGUUCUGACACUGAGGCGCGACAGCGUGGGGAGCAAACAGGAUUAGAUACCCCCGUAGUCC
rnacentral:rRNA from 1 species